rnacentral:rRNA from 1 species
GACGAACGCUGGCGGCGUGCUUAACACAUGCAAGUCGUACGGUAAGGCCCUUCGGGGUACACGAGUGGCGAACGGGUGAGUAACACGUGGGUGAUCUGCCCUGCACUUCGGGAUAAGCCUGGGAAACUGGGUCUAAUACCGGAGAGGACCACUGCCUGCAUGGGUGGUGGCGGAAAGCUUUUGCGGUGUGGGAUGGGCCCGCGGCCUAUCAGCUUGUUGGUGGGGUGAUGGCCUACCAAGGCGACGACGGGUAGCCGGCCUGAGGGGGUGACCGGCCACACUGGGACUGAGAUACGGCCCAGACUCCUACGGGAGGCAGCAGUGGGGAAUAUUGCACAAUGGGCGCAAGCCUGAUGCAGCGACGCCGCGUGAGGGAUGACGGCCUUCGGGUUGUAAACCUCUUUCAGCACCGACGAAGCGCAAGUGACGGUAGGUGCAGAAGAAGGACCGGCCAACUACGUGCCAGCAGCCGCAGUAA